GUAUGCUUUGGCAGAAAUAUUAUGAAGUUGGAAUGAUACAGAGAUGAUUAGCAUGGCCCUUGUGCAAGGAUGAUACACAAAUCUGUGAAGUGUUCCAUAUUUUU
ensembl:snRNA U6 U6 spliceosomal RNA